AGCGAACGCUGGCGGCAGGCCUAACACAUGCAAGUCGAACGAACCCUUCGGAGUUAGUGGCGGACGGGUGAGUAACACGUGGGAACGUGCCUUUUGGUUCGGAAUAACUCAGGGAAACUUGUGCUAAUACCGAAUGUGCCCUUCGGGGGAAAGAUUUAUCGCCAUUAGAGCGGCCCGCGUCUGAUUAGCUAGUUGGUGAGGUAACGGCUCACCAAGGCGACGAUCAGUAGCUGGUCUGAGAGGAUGACCAGCCACACUGGGACUGAGACACGGCCCAGACUCCUACGGGAGGCAGCAGUGGGGAAUCUUGCGCAAUGGGCGAAAGCCUGACGCAGCCAUGCCGCGUGAAUGAUGAAGGUCUUAGGAUUGUAAAAUUCUUUCACCGGGGACGAUAAUGACGGUACCCGGAGAAGAAGCCCCGGCUAACUUCGU
rnacentral:rRNA from 1 species